rnacentral:rRNA from 1 species
GAUGAACGCUGGCGGCGUGCCUAAUACAUGCAAGUCGAGCGAACAGAUAAGGAGCUUGCUCCUUUGACGUUAGCGGCGGACGGGUGAGUAACACGUGGGUAACCUACCUAUAAGACUGGGAUAACUUCGGGAAACCGGAGCUAACACCGGAUAACAUUUGGAACCGCAUGGUUCUAAAGUGAAAGAUGGUUUUGCUAUCACUUAUAGAUGGACCCGCGCCGUAUUAGCUAGUUGGUAAGGUAACGGCUUACCAAGGCGACGAUACGUAGCCGACCUGAGAGGGUGAUCGGCCACACUGGAACUGAGACACGGUCCAGACUCCUACGGGAGGCAGCAGUAGGGAAUCUUCCGCAAUGGGCGAAAGCCUGACGGAGCAACGCCGCGUGAGUGAUGAAGGGUUUCGGCUCGUAAAACUCUGUUAUUAGGGAAGAACAAACGUGUAAUUAACUGUGCACGUCUUGACGGUGCCUAAUCAGAAAGCCACGGCUAACUACGUG